rnacentral:rRNA from 1 species
GAUGAACGCUAGCGACAGGCCUAACACAUGCAAGUCGAGGGGCAGCAUAAAGGUAGCAAUACUUUGGUGGCGACCGGCGCACGGGUGAGUAACACGUAUGCAACCUACCUGUAAGAGGGGAAUAACCCGGAGAAAUUCGGACUAAUACCGCAUAAUACUGAUUAUCUGCAUGGAUUGAUCAGUUAAACAUUUAUGGCUUACAGAUGGGCAUGCGUAUGAUUAGAUAGUUGGUAGGGUAACGGCCUACCAAGUCAACGAUCAUUAGGGGUUCUGAGAGGAAGGUCCCCCACACUGGUACUGAGACACGGACCAGACUCCUACGGGAGGCAGCAGUGAGGAAUAUUGGUCAAUGGGCGAGAGCCUGAACCAGCCAAGUCGCGUGAAGGAAGAAGGUUCUAUGGAUUGUAAACUUCUUUUGUAAGGGAAUAAAAAGAGUUACGUGUAACUUAUUGUAUGUACUUUACGAAUAAGGAUCGGCUAACUCCGUGCCAGCAGCCGCGGUAAAACG